rnacentral:tRNA from 1 species
GCCGAAGUGGCGGAAUUGGAAGACGCGCUACGUUCAGGGCGUAGUGAGGUACCCCCUCGUGUGGGUUCGAGUCCCACCUUCGGC